GGCAACCGCGUCGGCGUCUGCUUUUAACCUGUGGGAGAACCCGGCGAGCUAAGCCAAACGGAGGGCGGGAGAGAGGAAGCGGCAGCUGGCGCCUCUCGGCAACUCUAACCCUCUGAUAGAGAUCGCCAAGAUUGGUAUCCAUAGAGCUUGCUGUGGUUUGAAUGUAUCCCCCAAAGUUCAUGUGUUGGAAACUAUUCUUAAUGCAAAAGUGUUAAGAGAUCCCGGAGAGCUUGUCCACUGCAACAGUGCAACACGCUAAGGGCUGUGUGGCGGCACAGGGGCUCUGAGCUCCUGACCUGAGUCAUGGGGACCUGAAGGCUGACACCCAGCCCUAUACCUACAAGCUGGGUGAGACCCCUGGCAGUUGCCUACACCCCUGCUGAGACCCAGUACCUCCCUGUAAAAUGGGGGAAAUAAUGCCUGCCUCACAGGGUUUCGAUGAAGGGAAACAUUUGGAAACCCCUUGGAGGAGAUCUGCCACAUGGCCUCCAGUGAACUGUAGACUCCUGCAUAGCCUUCCAAAGUUCUUCAUUUGGUGAAUAUUAUGAGAAAUGACACGUAUGACUUUCUCCCAAAUACGUGGCUUAAACCCAAAGUACAGUGAAAUCAGAACUGACCACACAGAGUAAUUGGGGCAAGGGAGUUAUUUGUGACACAAAGCCCUCAUCACUUUAUAAAAGUACUUGCUACUGAUUACAUUGAAAACCAGUCUUCCUGAGUAAAACAUGUUUUUUGUUUUGUAUCGUUUUUGUUUUUGUUUUUUUGAGACAGAGUCUCACUCUUUGACCCAGGCUGGAGUGCAGUGGUGCGAACUUGGCUCUCCGCAACCUCUGCCUUCUGGGUUCAAGCGAUUCUCUUGCCUCAGCCUCCUGAGUAGCUGGGAUUACAGGUGCCCGUCACCACGCCAGGCUAAUUUUUUUGUAUUUUUAGUAGAGGCGAGGUUUUGCCAUGUUGGCCAGGUUGAUCUUGAACUCCUGACCUCAGAUGAUCCACAUGCCUGGGCCUCCCAAAGUGCUGGGGUUAGAGGCAUUAAGGGAGGAGACCACCCCUCAUAUUGUCUUAUGCCCAAUUUCUGCCUCCAAAGAAAGAAAAAGUAAAAACUGAAAGGCAGAAAUGAAAUCCACAAGCAGACAGCCCGGUGCCACACCCUGGGCAGAUCGACCCCUGACCUAAUCGGUUAUGUUAUCGAUUACAGACAUUGGAUAGAAAAGCACUGUGAAAAUCCCUAUCCUGUUUUGUUCAGAUCGAAUUACCGGUGCAUGCAGCCCCCAGACACGUACCCUCUGCUUGCUCAAUCGAUCACGACCCUCUCACACGCACCCCCUUAGAGUUGUGAGCCCUUAAAAGGGACAGGAAUUGCUCACUCGGGGAGCUUGGCUCUUGAGACAGGAGUCUUGCCAAUGCCCCCAGCCGAAUAAACCCCUUCCUUCUUUAACUCGGAGUCUGAGGAGUUUUGUCUGCAGCUCAUCCUGCUACAUUUCUUGGUUCCCUGACCAGGAAGCGAGGUGACUGGCACAUGGUCGAGGCAGCUGCUUAGGCAGCUUAAGCAUGCCCUGUGAAACAUCCCUGUGGGGGACUCCGACCAGCCCAGGCAACGCGGAUCCUGAGAACGCUCCCGGGUAGGCAUCUGCCCCUGUGGGAUGCCUCACCAGAGCAGUGUGUGGCAGGCCCCCGUGGAGGACCAACACAGUGGCUGAACACCGGGAAGGAACAGGAUCUUGGAGUCUGGACAUCUAAAACUUGGAUCACAGGGCCCUGGACAACGUCAGUGAACAUUAUCCUGGGGUAACCCAGUCUCCUAGGUCUGGUAACAACAACAAG
rnacentral:lncRNA from 1 species